rnacentral:lncRNA from 1 species
GUAGAAAUACCGGUUCUUCCUGUGUUUCAACCAAUAACAGGUUUCAGUAGGGAAAGGUGAAUUAAGUCAAUCAGCUGUUUACUUUUUGAUUCCUUCAGGAGAUAAUAAAGAGCUGCUGUGUGUUAAGAAGCCAGAGACUUUAGUAUUCAAAUAAUAUCAGCAUAAAGAGCAACUGGCCAAGAACCAGACAUUAUAGCUUGUUUCCUUAUUUUUAAAUUACCUCUUUUUUCUUUGACAACUGCAUGGCUACACCCAGAAAAGCAGUGAUUAUAUCCAGAACCCAGAGAGGUCCCUCAUAACAUGAAAAUGUUGUGACAUCAUAGUCCUUGGUUAAGGAAAUUAUAAUGAUGGCAGAGAUUAAAGCCACAGUAUAAGACAGGCAAGGGAAGAGAAGAGCCUCAGAAGAGAGUUUCUUGCUCAAAAAAAGCAUUAAAACUUUCUUUUUUUGAGGGAGAAUUGUUAAAAGAUGCUGAAUGCUGUUCUGUCCAGAUGACAAAACUGCAGAAAUACAGCUGUUGUUGUAUCUCGGGAGUAUCAAAGGAGGCAUCAACCAAAGUGGAUAAAUUUACUUUGACAUUUAAACACUUCUUGUUGUGUGAGGGAAUGGGGCAGGCUAUGAAAGAGAAGAAAGCUGCUAUAUAGUGUCAGCAGAUUUCCGUUAUCGUAUGAUCUCCAGCAGGGUGUCAGGCUGCACUCCUCCCCACAUCUGGCCAUAUGUUUCCUUUAUCACCUUUACCACUGCUGUUAGUGCUCAGUCACUGGGUGACUGCUUCAGGAAGCUCUGAGUGCUGAAAUUGCAGCUUCAACUACUUGGGGAGAAGAAUAGAAAGAUGGACUGCCACUGCUCGGACUUAGGUUUGGCUGCACAUUCACCAAAGCCAAGUGCUUAUUAGAGAGUCGAGAAUGUGUGUUUUACUACCUGUUGCUCCUUCUAUUAAUACUUUCUGUACAUAUAUAUAAAUAUUAAAGUAGCAAAAUAUCUCAUAUUUGAGGAAUUUCUAGAAUGUCUGAGAAAGCCUGGGAAAGAAAAAAACUAAAUAGAAUUUCAGCUAUUUUCUAGUUCUCUUUAGAACUGCUCAAAUGUUAUAUGUGUGUGCAUGUGUGCUGUACACAGUUGCACUACAUUUGAAUUUCCACCAAUAAAGAUGUGAUCCAGGAAACUGUCA